AUUGAACGCUGGCGGCAGGCCUAACACAUGCAAGUCGAGCGAGCGGCGGACGGGUGAGUAAUGUCUGGGAAACUGCCUGAUGGAGGGGGAUAACUACUGGAAACGGUAGCUAAUACCGCAUACCAUCAGAUGUGCCCAGAUGGGAUUAGCUAGUAGGUGGGGUAAUGGCUCACCUAGGCGACGAUCCGUAACUGGUCUGAGAGGAUGAUCAGUCACACUGGAACUGAGACACGGUCCAGACUCCUACGGGAGGCAGCAGUGGGGAAUAUUGGACAAUGGGCGAAAGCCUGAUCCAGCCAUGCCGCGUGUGUGAAGAAGGUCUUCGGAUUGUAAAGCACUUUAAGUUGGGAGGCGUUACCAACAGAAUAAGCACCGGCUAACUUCGUGCCAGCAGCCGCGGUAAUUC
rnacentral:rRNA from 1 species